GCGAGUGUGCUGGAAUAGGCAGACAGGCACGUUUGAGGGGCGUGUGUCGUAUGACGUAUGGGUUCAAGUCCCAUUACUCGCACCA
rnacentral:tRNA from 1 species